AUUGAACGCUGGCGGCAUGCUUUACACAUGCAAGUCGAACGGUAACAGGCGUUCGGGUGCUGAGGAGUGGCGAACGGGGGAGUAAUACCUCUUAACGUACCCAGAGGUGGGGGAUAACGCAGCAAAAGCUGUGCUAAUACCGCAGGUGAUCUGUGGAUGGAAGCGGGUGACCGAGCAGCAAUUUUUGGCCUCGCGCCUUUGGAGCCGCCGAGGUCGGAUUAGCUAGUUGGGGGGGUCAAGGCCUACCAAGGUGAGGAUCCGUAGCUGGUCUGAGAGGGCCACUCGCCACACGGGCAGUGAGGCACGGCCCCGACACCUGCGCUAGGCAGCAGCGGGGACUCCUAGACGAUGGGGGAAAACGUGAUACAGCAAAGCCGCGUGAAGGAAGAAGGAGCCAGGGUUGGAAACCGAUGAUGGCAGGAACGAAGCGGUGUCCGCUCAUACCGGGAGAUAAUGACGGUACCCGGAGAAUAAGCACCGGCUAACUACGUG
rnacentral:rRNA from 1 species